AAUUUUACAAAGUUUGCAAUUUUUAUCCAUAAAGAAUAAUCAUUCUACUUAAAAAAAACAAAAAUAUUACAAUAACCUAAAAUAAAUACCAAAAGUAUAUAAGAAAACCUUUAAAACCAAAAAUAAAAUUAAAAUAAAAUAAACAGCAAUAACCUGAGACCAAAAAUACAAAAAGAAGUGAAGAGCUUUUAAAGUGUAAAAGAGGCCCAUAUAUAAGUAUAACAACCCAAUUUUAUUGAAUCAAAUUGGGCCUUAGGGUUACGAAAUUGAAAGAUUACAAUCGGGAUAAAUAGCAAACACAUUCUUCUUCAACUUCACAUUGCCUUUUGAGAGAACCAGUCGAGCGCCUUUCGGCCAUGUCGCCUGAGUUCCGUUGCCGGCAUAUAACAAAUCAGCCCUUGGUUUACUCCGUCGAAGCGAGCUUCUCACUUGCUUUUGCUCAAAUCGAGAACAUGAACUAAUUUGAAUUGGAAUUUGAAAGAGAAAAAAAUAACGAAUGACGUGGACAAAAGCAACAGAUAAAUACCUUUCCAUCUUUGCUAGUUGAUGUGAACUUGAAUUCCUCUACGAUUUUGUCGGAUGCAUCGUUUUACUAAGGAAAAAAUGUCAUUGUUGUAGCUUAGCUUAUCUAGAUAGGCGAGUCUUGGAUAUUUCAUCUCUCUUAUGCCGGUUAUGUGACUAUGAAUUUGAAGGCAAUAAUCGUUUUGGUUUUUUAAAUGUGAAACUUCUCUCAAGGUUUGGUUAGGGGUUAGCCUUUGGAAAAAUGUUUGGUUUGUAGAUAUGGACAUGGUGCAACAUGUGGUGACUUGGUUAGAAUCUUUCUAAUGGAAGAGGAUGUCAACAUAUCAAACUAUCAAUUUUUUUUUUUGAUCAAAUAUAGUUAUGUAGAUUUUUGAGUUUGUGGUAUUCAUCAAUUUGUCGGGGAAAAUUGUUCUGGUGGAAAUGGGUGUGUUGGAAGCAAUUAAAUUUGUAAUUAAUUAACUAUGACAACCAACCAUGUUUCUUCUACCAAUAACUUUAUUUUAUAGAUUGGGUGAUUAUAUGUAUAAA